AAAAAAUUGUUUUAAAUUCAGUGUGUCCUUGUAAAAUGGGUGUUAAUAAAAAUAAAAACCCUUUAAGUCCUUUAGUUUCUCUACUUUUUUUUUCUGCCAAGUGGGACAAAUAAAGUUGGUCGCUGUCCUUGGUCAUUGUCAUCGCUGUUGAUGCUCUAUCAGCCCAGGUCUCUUAAAGUUAAGAAUAUGCAUGUCUUAUCUCCUCUCUAUGAGAAAUUUGACCACUGCUCAUUUUUCUAAAGGGAGAUAUUAGAAAGGAAGAUCUCAGUACCUGACAGAUUAAUCCAUCCAAUGAUACAAGCAUUCAAGCUAGAUUUAUAUAAAUACAGUCGAAUCCAUUUAAUUGGACCACUGGGUAAUCAGACCAGCUGCUUAUUCAGACAGAAUCCUAAAGAACCCAAACAAAUCCUAUUGCAUAAGCCUAACAUUAUUCAUUUAUUUCGACCAAAAUUCCAUUUAAUCGGAUCAAAUAACAUGACAGCAAAUAAGAAAAAGUAGCCACAUCACCCACCAUAAGCAUUUGGUCAUGGAAAUGGAAGUGGACAUGCUGAUUAAAAGUGAAAAUGAUGACAAAUGUGGAACAUCAACAACUCGAAAAUUACAAAGAAUUUGUAUCCAUUAACAACAAGCUUCAAUGCUACAAGGAAAAUGAAGAUUACAAUGCUGCAAUUGUUGCUCAAAUUGCAGUGAAACACAUGAUAGCACAAGAAGACCAGGAAAGUGAUGAUGCCCCUAAACAGUUGGUGCAAGUGACACAGGAUGCCAGGAAAUGCACUGAAACUUUGCACCACUAUUUCAUGUAGAAAGGGAAAUGAAGGCAUUGCUGCAUUAGAUGUUAGUGGCAAUUUUGUUCAAGUGCAGUCAGAAUGCAUCAAAUCACACUGGAUAAGUUCUUCAAAUAUAGACUGGAAUUUGGGUAAGAGUGGGACAGUUCCCAGGGCCGUUCCUUUCUCACGCCAGCUGCGUACGUAAUAGCCUUGCAGCAUUGAACUGCUCACCCGCGGCCAUUGCAUGGCUGAUUUUCAAUGGCACUGGACCCUUAGCGGACUAAAACCCGUAUGGUCGUUGUACGAUUCCGUGUGUGGCUCGUUAUUCAUGGCAUUUCUGGCUACUCAAAAUGUUCUCUAACUCUGGCUCUAAUUCUUCUUUUUGUUGAGUACGAAUAGUACAUGCUAUGUAAAUUAUAUUUAACAUUUUUAAAAAAAAUGCAGAUGAGAUAUGAAGAUUAUACAACUCUGAUUAAAAAUGCAAAAGUUAACAUACGAAUUCCUUCAUCUAUCCCUGAUAUUUUUGUAUGUGUCUUAUUCCCGUGAAAUAAAUAUGCACAAGGCGGCAAAUCGUUUAGUGACCUUUCAUACCUGGAUAAAAAUAUAGAGCUUAGAGUUAGAAAAUUAGCUAUUUUCUUCCAUUAUUUGUUUUGCUUUUUUACUUAAACUUUUAAAAUUAAUAAAGUUUGUUUAAUCACUUUUAUCUUUAAACGCCUGCACCCAGCUGUCUAGAAUUAUUGUAAAAUAAAUUAUUAACCAUCAUACAAUUAUUACCAGUUGUUGUCGAAAAAAGAGACUAUUAAAGUUAAUUUGUCUGAAUUGAUGCAUCCAUGCAACCCAAUCAUGUAAAUGGGCUAUCUAUAUGAGGUUCUUUCCUUCACCAUUGGGAACAGAAUCCUUAUGCUGCACUUUCUCAGAUAUUCUUUUGAUUACCUGUGGAAAGUUUGGACAAGUCGUUUAAGCUGGCGUAAAAAGUUCUCAAAUGGAGAUCGAGUGUCAUGGAUCAGUCCGUGCCUCCAGUGUUUUUCAGACUUUUAACCCUUUUGUGACUCACGGACUAACAGUGGUAUGUUGAAUGUAUAUGGUUGAAUGGAUAAAAACAUAGGAAAGGGUUAACUGUGUUAAGUGCGGUACUGACCCGUUUUGGGAUUAACCUCGCCUAGACGAGGUUUUAAUCGUAUGGGCGGAUUUAACUGGAGCUAUUCUGGGUAAAGAAGAAUCGCCUGCCAGGACCAUUCCGUGAUCGACGUGAUUUUGGUUCAGCACCCAGCAGCACGUGCGUUAGGAGUCCGGCCGUGACGUCUUACCAACCAAGGGCCAUAACCCCUAAUAAUGGCACGUGACUUUUAGCCAAUGGUGUACGUGAUCGGAACUGCGCGCCAUUUGCAAAGUUAUGUUUCUACACUUUUCGCAACAGGAAUUAUAAUUAAGCGUCUUCAGCCGUCAAUUCCAAUACUGAUACAUGUGUUGGACUCUUCAAUAACAAUAGCUGGCUGCUGGCAUUUAAAGAUGAAAGUGGUCACAGGAUGUGCAACUGGCCA